GACGAACGCUGGCGGCGUGCCUAAUACAUGCAAGUCGAACGCAGUGGGGACGGGUGAGUAACACGUGGGUAACCUCCCAUCAGAGGGGAUAACACUUGGAAACAGGUGCUAAACCGCUACUGCUGGAUGAACUCGGGAUGCAUUAGCUAGUUGGGGGGGUAACGACUCACCAAGGCUACGAUGCAUAGCCGACCUGAGAGGAUGAACGGCCACAAUGGAACUGAGACACGGCCCAGACUCCUACGGGAGGCAGCAGUAGGGAAUCUUGCGCAAUGGACGAAAGUCUGACCGAGCAACGCCGCGUGAGUGAAGAAGGUUUUCGGAUCGUAAAACUCUGUUGGUAGAGAAGCGUUAUCUAACCAGAAAGCAACGGCUAACUACGUGCCAGCAGCCGCGGUAAUUC
rnacentral:rRNA from 1 species